rnacentral:lncRNA from 1 species
UCAAAACUUAAUUUUAUUUCAUUUAUGUUACAGGAGUUUCUGGAAAGCCAAGCAAAACCAAAGGAUAUUUUCAUAGAAAGGACUUCUGUAGGCAAAAAAAGUAGGUAUGUGUAUAAAUAUAUUUAUAUUUAUGUAAUAUUUGGAGAGAGAUUUUAAAAAAAAAAAUGUUUUAAUCCUUGCUCUUCCAAACACAUUGCAGUUGUUAAAGUUUCAUGGGUUACCUAUAAAUAAAUGAAUGAAAAGUUUCAACUUAAUUCUUAUGGUUAUAACACUUUAAAAACUGCUCGAUUUUGUAAGUAAAAAGAUCAGUUGUGGUUACAUUUUGUAUUGCAAGAUUGUUUUUAUUACAAAUAUUAAUUGCUUCCAAUUUUUAGCUACAUAUAUUAAAGUUUAAUAUAAAAAUAAGAAGAUGUGGUAUGAUUGCCAAUGAGUCAUUACUCUCCACCAGAGACCAUUGAAGAAGAAUUUAAAAAUUAGCAAAACUCAUGCCAAAUGUAAAAUUAAAAAUCAUGUGUCUAAGACUUAAAUAUCAAUCAGUAAACAUCUAAUUGAUUUAGAGUCUAGAGAAUAGACUGCCAUUAAUCAUAGGAUAAGGACAUGAUCUUGUACAAUGCCAAAAUAUAGGUAUCAACAGUUUGUAAAACUGGUCAACAUACAUAUGUGUAUAACAAUAAUGUUUAAUUUGGUUUUAAUUUACUGAUAGCAAAAUCAAUAUUUAUAUUUAUAAAAUACUUUCCAGUUUUAUUCAAAUAUGUUGUUAUAUCAAAACGAGACAAAUAUAAAAAAGUAGAUGUGGUAUUAUUGCCAAUAAGACAACUCUCCACAAGAGACCAAAAUGAGACAGAAAAGCAUGUUUAAAAGUCACUGAGGAUAUGUCAUUAUUUUUAAAACUAACAACUUACAGUAUAUGGGAAUAAAUCAAAUUAAGUUUUUAAAUGUAUGAAUGUAAUUUAUUUUUUUCAGAUGAAGACAACUUCAAGAAGAGUGACAUUUAGAAGAUAGAACAUUCUAUUGAUAUUGUUAUUAUGACAACAACAAAAAAACAUAAAAAGUUGUGUAACGUUUUGAGAUUGCUGUAUAAAAUAAAAGUAGAGUGAAAUCAAAUUUUUGGAAGUUUUUUGAAAAAUUUAUAUUCUGC